AUUGAACGCUGGCGGCAUGCCUUACACACGCAAGUCGAACGGUAACAGGUCUUCGGAUGCUGACGAGUGGCGAACGGGUGAGUAAUGCAUCGGAACGUGCCCAGUUGUGGGGGAUAACUGCUCGAAAGAGCAGCUAAUACCGCAUACGACCUGAGAGUGAAAGCGGGGGAUCGCAAGACCUCGCGCAAUUGGAGCGGCCGAUGUCAGAUUAGGUAGUUGGUGGGGUAAAGGCCUACCAAGCCGACGAUCUGUAGUUGGUCUGAGAGGACGACCAGCCAGCCUGGGACUGAGACACGGCCCAGACUCCUACGGGAGGCAGCAGUGGGGAAUUUUGGACAAUGGGCGCAAGCCUGAUCCAGCAAUGCCGCGUGCAGGAAGAAGGCCUUCGGGUUGUAAACUGCUUUUGUCAGGGAAGAAAUCCUCUGGGUUAAUACCCCGGGGGGAUGACGGUACCUGAAGAAUAAGCACCGGCUAACUACGUGCCAGCCGCCGCCGUAAGAC
rnacentral:rRNA from 1 species